rnacentral:rRNA from 1 species
AUACGGAGGAUGCAGGCGUUAUCCGGAUUUAUUAGGUUUAAAGGGUGCGCAGGCGGUCUUUUAAGUCAGUGUUGAAAGUUUGCAGCUUAACUGUAAAAUUGGCAUUGAAACUGUAAGACUUGAAUAUGUUAGAGGUAGGCGGAAUGUGUAGUGUAGCGGUGAAAUGCUUAGAUAUUACACAGAACACCAAUUGCGAAGGCAGCUUACUAUACCAUUAUUGACGCUGAGGCACGAAAGCGUGGGUAGCGAACAGGAUUAGAAACCCCAGUAGUCC